rnacentral:rRNA from 1 species
UACAGAGGGUGCAAGCGUUAAUCGGAAUUACUGGGCGUAAAGCGCGCGUAGGUGGUUAGUUAAGUUGGAUGUGAAAUCCCCGGGCUCGACCUGGGAACUGCAUUCAAAACUGACUGACUAGAGUAUGGUAGAGGGUGGUGGAAUUUCCUGUGUAGCGGUGAAAUGCGUAGAUAUAGGAAGGAACACCAGUGGCGGAGGCGACCACCUGGACUGAUGCUGACACUGAGGUGCGAAAGCGUGGGGAGCAAACAGA